AUGGGUUCAGUAACAAGGAAGCCAAACAUCGUGCACCACUUUCCUCUUUUAUGUUGUUUCUUUAAUCAUUUUUCAAAAUGUACAUGCUUUCGUGGAGUACGAAGGCUAGGCUCUGCUGCUGUUGAUAUGUCCCAUGUUGGUCUAGGCAUUACAGAGGCUUACUGGGAAUAUCGGCUUAAGCCGUGUGACAUGGUUGCUGGCAUUCUGGUACUCCUUACACCGUGGAAUCAGAUUUGCUAA
rnacentral:rRNA from 1 species